UACGGAGGAUCCAAGCGUUAUCCGGAAUCAUUGGGUUUAAAGGGUCCGUAGGCGGUUUGGUAAGUCAGUGGUGAAAGCCCAUCGCUCAACGGUGGAACGGCCAUUGAUACUGCCAGACUUGAAUUAUUAGGAAGUAACUGGAAUAUGUAGUGUAGCGGUGAAAUGCUUAGAGAUUACAUGGAAUACCAAUUGCGAAGGCAGGUUACUACUAAUGGAUUGACGCUGAUGGACGAAAGCGUGGGUAGCGAACAGG
rnacentral:rRNA from 1 species